AGCGGGUUGCCAUGGUCCCAGGGAUUCCCGUAAAGGAGUGUCCGUCGUCCUCGGAGAGCCGGGGCAGCGGCGGAUCCCCUUCCUGGGCUCCUGGAGGCAUCUGGGCCCCCGCCGCCGUGGUGGCUGCACGGCCCCGCACGCGGCCCGCCGUCGUCCAAGGCCUGCCCACACGCGCAUCCGCUUUCCAGCGAGGUGAAAAAGGUGAAAAUGUCGCCGGGCAACCGGAAAAGCCGGGAGCAGAGAUGUCCGUAUUUAACCGAGUGGAGCCGAGGCGAGGAGAAACCGAGUCGCUUGCUAAAAUGAAACAGAAAAUGACGGAGGACUGAUUUGAGCCCCCAGAGAUUUGACUCUGAUGCUCUCCGAACAGAAUAUGACGUCACUUGAACACAAAAGCAUCAACGCAGAACCAUCAGACUGAAGUGUCCCACUUGGCUCUGCCUGAUAAGGUCCCCACCAGUCUUGGACUUGAUUCAAAUUCUAGCUCCAUCGUUCAUUGGCUAGUUGACCAGGACAAGUCACCUUACCUCUCUAGGCCACGAUUUCCUAAUAAAAACAAAAAUUGGGGGCCGGCAAGAUGGCUCCGCAGGGAAAGGUGCUUGCCACCUAGCCUAAGGGUGAGUUUAAUCCCUAAGACCGACAUGGAAGAAAGAAAAUGAUUCCUGCAAGUUGACUUCUGACCAAUGCCAGUACCCCUAUGUCAUGCACACGCACAAAAUCAAUAAAUCAGUGAUUUUAAAGGAAUGUUUAUAUUUAAAAUGGAAAUUACCAGUCAUAUUUUCGAACCCUAAUAUGAAGAAGACACAAGAUGUAUAAAAUAAAAAAUGAUGUAGAAAGUAUUAAGCAUUAUAAGCUUUCAAUUAAUAGAAAAUAGUAAUAUUACUUUUAUGACAAAGCUUACAUAUAUUUUAAUUAAAUUUUAAUAGACUAUUUAAU